rnacentral:rRNA from 1 species
CCUACGGGGGGCAGCAGUGAGGAAUAUUGGUCAAUGUCCGGAAGGCUGAACCAGCCAUGCCGCGUGAAGGUCAGUGCCCUAUGGGCGUUAAACUUCUUUUGUGCGGGAGCAAUAAUGGUCACGUGUGGCCAGACGAGAGUACCGUACGAAUAAGCAUCGGCUAACUCCGUGCCAGCAGCCGCGGUAAUACGGGGGAUGCAAGCGUUAUCCGGAUUUAUUGGGUUUAAAGGGUGCGUAGGCUUUGAGGUAAGUCAUCGGUGAAAUGCCCCCGCUCAACGGGGUGAAGUGCCAUUGAUACUGCCGUGCUGGAAUGCGGAUGCCGUGGGAGGAAUGUGUGGUGUAGCGGUGAAAUGCAUAGAUAUCACACAGAACACCGAUUGCGAAGGCAUCUCACGAAGCCGCGAUUGACGCUGAUGCACGAAAGCGUGGGUAUCAAACAGGAUUAGAUACCCUGGUAGUC